rnacentral:rRNA from 1 species
UACGUAGGGAGCGAGCGUUGUCCGGAAUUACUGGGCGUAAAGGGCGCGUAGGCGGGUAUUUAAGUCAGAUGUGAAAGCCCCGGGCUUAACUCGGGGAUUGCAUUUGAAACUGGGUAUCUUGAGGGCAGGAGAGGAAAGUGGAAUUCCUAGUGUAGCGGUGGAAUGCGUAGAUAUUAGGAGGAACACCAGUGGCGAAGGCGACUUUCUGGACUGUACCUGACGCUGAGGCGCGAAAGCAUGGGGAGCAAACGGGAUUAGAUACCCCGGUAGUCCAUGCCGUAAACGAUGAAUACUAGGUGUAGGAGGUAUCGACCCCUUCUGUGCCGCAGUUAACACAAUAAGUAUUCCGCCUGGGGAGUACGGCCGCAAGGUUGAA